UCGAACGGAUAUCUUCGGAUAUGAGUGGCGAACGGGUGAGUAACACGUAGGGAACCUGCCUGCAUGAGCGGGAGAACUUCUGGAAACGGAAGCUGAUACCGGAUGAGCAAAGAGGAGGCAUCUUCUUUUUGGAAAAGGGGACAAGAGUCCCGCAUGCAGAUGGACCUGCGGUGCAUUAGCUGGUUGGAGAGGUAACGGCUCACCAAAGCGACGAUGCAUAGCCGGCCUGAGAGGGCGGACGGCCACACUGGGACUGAGACACGGCCCAGACUCCUGCGGGAGGCAGCAGUAGGGAAUUUUCGUCAAUGGGGGGAACCCUGAACGAGCAAUGCCGCGUGAGCGAGGAAGGUCUUCGGAUCGUAAAGCUCUGUUGCCGGGGACAAAAGGCAGAAAGAGUGGAAAGCUUUCUGAGUGAUGGUACCCGGCGAGGAAGUCACGGCUAACUACGUGCCAGCAGCCGCGGUAAUACGUAGGUGGCGAGCGUUAUCCGGAAUGAUUGGGCGUAAAGGGUGCGCAGGCGGCCGGGCAAGUCCGCAGUAAAAACUGGAGGCUCAACCUUCAGGGGCUGCGGAAACUGUCCGGCUGGAGAGCAGGAGAGGACGGUGGAACUCCAUGUGUAGC
rnacentral:rRNA from 1 species